UGGCUCAGGAUGAACGCCGGCGGUGUGCCUAAUACAUGCAAGUCGUACGCACUGGCCCAACUGAUUGAUGGUGCUUGCACCUGAUUGACGAUGGAUCACCAGUGAGUGGCGGACGGGUGAGUAACACGUAGGUAACCUGCCCCGGAGCGGGGGAUAACAUUUGGAAACAGAUGCUAAUACCGCAUAACAACAAAAGCCACAUGGCUUUUGUUUGAAAGAUGGCUUUGGCUAUCACUCUGGGAUGGACCUGCGGUGCAUUAGCUAGUUGGUAAGGUAACGGCUUACCAAGGCGAUGAUGCAUAGCCGAGUUGAGAGACUGAUCGGCCACAAUGGAACUGAGACACGGUCCAUACUCCUACGGGAGGCAGCAGUAGGGAAUCUUCCACAAUGGGCGCAAGCCUGAUGGAGCAACACCGCGUGAGUGAAGAAGGGUUUCGGCUCGUAAAGCUCUGUUGUUGGAGAAGAACGUGCGUGAGAGUAACUGUUCACGCAGUGACGGUAUCCAACCAGAAAGUCACGGCUAACUACGUGCCAGCAGCCGCGGUAAUACGUAGGUGGCAAGCGUUAUCCGGAUUUAUUGGGCGUAAAGCGAGCGCAGGCGGUUGCUUAGGUCUGAUGUGAAAGCCUUCGGCUUAACCGAAGAAGUGCAUCGGAAACCGGGCGACUUGAGUGCAGAAGAGGACAGUGGAACUCCAUGUGUAGCGGUGGAAUGCGUAGAUAUAUGGAAGAACACCAGUGGCGAAGGCGGCUGUCUGGUCUGCAACUGACGCUGAGGCUCGAAAGCAUGGGUAGCGAACAGGAUUAGAUACCCUGGUAGUCCAUGCCGUAAACGAUGAGUGCUAGGUGUUGGAGGGUUUCCGCCCUUCAGUGCCGGAGCUAACGCAUUAAGCACUCCGCCUGGGGAGUACGACCGCAAGGUUGAAACUCAAAGGAAUUGACGGGGGCCCGCACAAGCGGUGGAGCAUGUGGUUUAAUUCGAAGCUACGCGAAGAACCUUACCAGGUCUUGACAUCUUGCGCUAACCUUAGAGAUAAGGCGUUCCCUUCGGGGACGCAAUGACAGGUGGUGCAUGGUCGUCGUCAGCUCGUGUCGUGAGAUGUUGGGUUAAGUCCCGCAACGAGCGCAACCCUUGUUACUAGUUGCCAGCAUUAAGUUGGGCACUCUAGUGAGACUGCCGGUGACAAACCGGAGGAAGGUGGGGACGACGUCAGAUCAUCAUGCCCCUUAUGACCUGGGCUACACACGUGCUACAAUGGACGGUACAACGAGUCGCAAGCUCGCGAGAGUAAGCUAAUCUCUUAAAGCCGUUCUCAGUUCGGACUGUAGGCUGCAACUCGCCUACACGAAGUCGGAAUCGCUAGUAAUCGCGGAUCAGCAUGCCGCGGUGAAUACGUUCCCGGGCCUUGUACACACCGCCCGUCACACCAUGGGAGUUUGUAACGCCCAAAGUCGGUGGCCUAACCUUUAUGGAGGGAGCCGCC
rnacentral:rRNA from 1 species